ACUGCAAAGAGCUGCGACCAAAGAGAACACAUAAGGAGGCGAAGCAGCAGGUAGGUAGGUAGGUAAGUGCCGGUAAGUGCCGGUAAGUGCGGGCAGUGCUGGGCCGAGCAGGAGUGACACAGGGCACAGCAGCGGUAGGUAAGUGCCGGUAAGUGCGGGCAGUGCUGGGCCGAGCAGGAGUAAGACAGGGCUCAGACAUGUGGGCACACGGACAGGCUCACCAGGGAC